CUUCUUGCUCUUGCAGUCUUCGUUUCGGGGGUCGGCCCAUGGGCUCCGCUUUCUUGGACUUCUGGUACCCCAUCUUCUUCGCCUCCUCGGGAUCCGGGGAGGAGGAUGAGAGGUGGUCGGAGCACGUAAGAGAAGGCUUGGGGGGGUGGAAGAACCGAAGAGACUGGUGGCGCUCGGAGCUACCUCCCCUGCGGAGGGUGGAGUUGGAGUUGGGGUUUUGGAUUCGUAGCAACGGUUCUGCUGGAGGUGGCGAGCCGUAACUCCGGCGUGGGUCAAGAACGGAAACGAAAAGGGCCGAGCCUCUACUGCUGCUGGGAGGGC
rnacentral:lncRNA from 1 species